rnacentral:lncRNA from 1 species
UCAAGUUGGAGCAUGCUUAUUUUUUCUUUUUUAAAAUGGCUAGAUAUCAAGAUGAAGAGUGUGCCUAAGAUGUGUGUGUGGUUUGAAGAACAGCAGCAAGGCCAGCGCACACCUCGCCACAGUCCAGGGGAGAUACAGAGUCCUGCCUGCAUCUUCAGCACCUCUUCCCACCACACUCCUUGCUGACCCUUCUGGCUGCUGCUUGAUUUCUAGGAUUGCUUCCUUCCUUCCAUGUUUUUACCUCUUAACUGCAAAUAAUUUGUUUUGACUUUUAAAGAACUUUGAGUAGGAUCUGAAUGUUAACAUCUUUGUUGCUGGCUUCUUUGCUCAGCUUUAUUUUUGUGAAAUGAAUCCGUGUUGGUGAUGUAGCUCUUACUCAUUUUCAUUGCUGUAGAGAAGUCCAUUAUAUGCAUGUGCCACAGUUUGUUAAUGCCACUGUCAUGGAUGAUGCUUAGUAAUAUAGUGAUUUUUAAUAUUAAAAAGAUAACUUUUGCUUGUGCCUGCGUAAGGUCAAAGGUGCAUUUUUGGGAAAAACAGGACAUGAGUGUCUAACAGCAGUAAAAAUACCUCUGAUUCUAUUAUGAUUGGUAUUUUGGUAUAGUAAAGUAUUGUUUCCAUGGAGGAAAAGGCAAUUUGAGUACAUAUUAUACUUGGGAACAGUUAGUAUUAAAGACCCUGAGGUUGGAAAGAAUUAGGUGUUUUGAGGAAACAUAUUUCUUAAUCUUUAAAAGUUAAAAUUUUGUUCUUCUUGCUGAUUUAUUAAAAAAAUCAAAUUGUAAAAACAGUCAUCACAGAAAGUUUUUGUUUGGUUGAUGGGAAUCGUAAAAACUUAGCUGAAGCUUGGUUUUAGUUUGGAUGAUUUCAUGUUAGAGGAAGUAAGUGGACAACCUUUUGUUUUCUUGCAAAAAAAAAAUGGCAUUUAUUAUUUUCUUAAAAAGGUUAAACCUUGUGGCUGGGCGCAGUAGUGCACACCUGUAAUCCCAGCGGCUGGGGGUGGGGGCUGAGGCAGGAGGAUAGCGAGUUCAAAGCCAGCCUCAGCAAUUUAGUGAGGCACUAAACAACUCAGUGAGACCCUGUCUCUAAAUAAAACACAAUAUAGGGCUGAGAUGUGGCUUGGUGGUCAAAUGCCCCUGAGUUCAAUCCCCAGGACCAAAAAAAAAAAAAAAGUUAAACCUAGUUUUAUUUUGUUUUCUAAUUUAAUAUUUUUACUCCUGAAAAUCUGAACCAUUCUCCUUAAAAGCUUCAUUAUUAUGGGAAUUAAACUAUAGUAUAUGUUAGUAGUUCUAGUUGUCAGAACUCCUGGAAAUCAGAGAGCUUUAUAAGGGAUGCUAUGAAGUUAUUGAUAUGUUCAGGUUUUGUGUGAAUUAAAAACAUUAUUCUGGAGAAAAUUUUGUGGUACAUAAUAUUUUGUCAACAU